rnacentral:tRNA from 1 species
GGAUAUAGCUCAGUGGGUAGAGUGAUUGCCUUUCAUGCACAAGGCCCUGGGUUCGGUCCCCAGCACCA